UUACAAUUAUCGUUUGGGAGAAAUCUUUCGCAAAGAGCAAGCAAGAGCGAGAAAAUUCGCAGAGAGCGAGAAAAUGAAGCCCCAAACCCUAGUUAGGCAGCUCAAAAUGAGGAAGAUAGUGACUGACACGGUGCCUAAAGAUGAAUAUAUCGUAUAUGUUCAUCCAGAGAGCAAGAAGAUAUACGAGCAAAUGAUGGCAGAGAUAAGGGAACAAGAUACAAUCAUGAACAGAUUGAAGGUGAUAUCACUGAGCUUCGCUGAUUCUACGGGUAAAAUGGUGGAGAGGGUCAAAGAGAGGGUGUUUGGAGACAGGCUGAGGCAGACUGCUGAAGCCAAACAGAAGCAGAAGGAGAGGGACAUCAUGCUCGUACACACUUAUCUCAUGCUCAAGGACCUUGUCCAUGGAAUUGGAGAUGAAGAUCAAGCAAGGAAGGAACCGCCUGCUAGCAAUGUCAAACAAACGGAAGCGUCACGGACUGAGGGGACUGAUCGAUCAAACCAUUAGCUAGGUCUCUACUAGUUCAUGGCUCGAGUCCAAGGUCAAGUUCAGAAUUGUUGGCUAAACGAGGGAAUUCAGCGGUGUUUGAAGUUAACCAUUUAUAUAUUUUGGCUUUGUUGGGAGAUUUCUAUAUUUUGAAACUAUAAUUCCACUGAAGUAAUGAUAAACAGAUUGCAACGUCUUAAAAACAUUUAAUUUUAGUCAUCUUGCUCUCAA